ACGGGUGAGUAACGCGUGAGCAACCUUCCUGCCUGUGAGGGAUAACACAGGGAAACUUGUGCUAAUACCGCAUGACGCAUGAUCAUCGCAUGGUGGAUAUGCCAAAGAUUUAUUGCAGGCAGAUGGGCUCGCGUCUGAUUAGAUAGUUGGUGGGGCAACGGCCUACCAAGUCGACGAUCAGUAGCCGGACUGAGAGGUUGAACGGCCACAUUGGAACUGAGAUACGGUCCAGACUCCUACGGGAGGCAGCAGUGGGGAAUAUUGGGCAAUGGGCGAAAGCCUGACCCAGCGACGCCGCGUGAGGGAAGAAGGUCUUCGGAUUGUAAACCUCUUUCAGCAAGGAAGAAGAAAGUGACGGUACUUGCAGAAGAAGCCACGGCUAACUACGUGCCAGCAGCCGCGGUAAUACGUAGGUGGCGAGCGUUAUCCGGAAUUACUGGGUGUAAAGGGUGUGUAGGCGGGGAGUCAAGUCAGAUGUGAAAAUUACGGGCUCAACCCGUAACCUGCGUCUGAAACUGAUUCUCUUGAGAGUGGGAGAGGUAAACGGAAUUCCUGGUGUAGCGGUGAAAUGCGUAGAUAUCAGGAGGAACACCGGUGGCGAAGGCGGUUUACUGGACCACAACUGACGCUGAGACACGAAAGCGUGGGGAGCAA
rnacentral:rRNA from 1 species